AGAAGCAAAAGCGAUUCCCUUAGUAGUGGCGAACGAAAAGGGAAAAGCCCAGCGCAUAACCUCCCGGGCUACCAAGCCUGCGGCGGAAUGUUGCGUAAAGGGAAAGGUCGUGUACAAGUCCUGCACGUGGCGUGGACCGAUAAGUCUGAGGAAUGAUCUUGCCCCGUCGCCCGAAAGGGUGGAGCUUGGUUCCACAGAGGGUGACAGACCCGUGUCGACACGUCCGCGUGCAAUGGAUUCGGCUUUUUUUCCCUGAGAGUCGCGUUGCUUGGGAAUGCAGCGCUAAGCAGGUCGUAAACUCGACCUAAGGCUAAAUAUCGCCACGGAACCGAUAGUAAACAAGUACCGUGAGGGAAAGUUGAAAAGCACUCUGAAGAGAGAGUGAAAAGACCGUGAAACCGUUCAGAGUAUAAACCAAUGGCUUGGAACUGGGUGGCACUGGCCUAGCAUCUGACGCACACUCUGCGCCGGGUGCGAUGGCACUUGUCUGUGUGUGACAGCAACGGUUGCAGCCGAGAUAAUUCGAAGGGUUUGCACAAUUCUGUGCAGAAUGCUUCUCGGUCCCUGUUGGAGCGUCUGGAUAGGCGAGAUAUUCUAUACUGGACAAACCGAGGCUUGGCUCUUCCCGAACUAAGACAAUGAGUGCAAAAACACCCCACCAGAGCUCUUUAUGAGGUCACCCACGUGAAGGCUUUCGUGAUUGCUGUCGUGCGUGUUGCUGACACUGGUGCGACACCCACGUGCGCUCGUGCGCAAGGGUGUGUGACCUGGGUCCAGCCGACAGUUGGAUGCUGUAGAACACAUAUCUCGCGUGAUUGGUACGAUCCUCUUGUGAAGGCUUUUUCUGACGUUUCUAGACCCUCAGAAGGGCAGCACCUACUCAAGGCAGGUGCUGUUCCAAACCCCAUCCGUGGGUGUGGCACUGUGUAUGAUUCCACUGGAACUGAUUUCAGUCCCAUUGUUCCCCACUUGGAGUGCUGCGUGUUUGCGGCUCUGGGGUUCAACGUGUGUUAGACCCUGUGCUUUGUUGGCAGGUUCAAAAAGUGGGCAGAGUUGCUCACUGUCCUGUCCGACCGUGCAGGGAUCUCUUGCGGAGGAUCACUGCCACUGAGAGGAGAGAUGUGUGGUGGAAACUGUUCCGAGCCAUCGGUCACGUCUCGAAACACGGGCCAAGGAGUAUAGCAUGUGCGCGAGUCUAAGGGUCUAACAAAACCUGGAGGCGAAGUGAAAGCAAACGGUAAGGGCGUGCUUCAGUCGCAAGGCUGAGGCAGUCCGUAUGCAUUGUGCCGCAAUUCCUGGGAAGUUCUCUCGCGAGUUCGACCCGGAUGAAUGUGUAGCUUUGCAGCUCGACAGGGUUGAUCACUGAUUGCAGCCGACGCUACCCAGCUCGGCUGUUGUAAGAACGUCAAGUUCGUUUAUCUGUGCGCAAACCCCAGGCUCCCCAUCAUGGGGCACUUUACUGUGUCUCGGGGAGCACUGUUAGCGUGCAUGCUAUGACCCGAAAGAUAGUGAACUAUGCCUGGCGAGGGCGAAGCCCCAGGAAACUGGGGUGGAGGCCCGUAGCC
rnacentral:rRNA from 1 species